GCUUCAGAUCGACUUUGACGACUUUGUCUCCCUCAUGGUCCAUCUGGGAGCCGCCUUCCAGCAGUGCAAAGGCCGAGACGCGAAUGGCGACGGACUGGUCUACAUGACGCAAAAGGAGUGGAUGGGACUCAUCGCCUUCCCCCGAUCCAGAAGAGGUGACCUACUCUACGAACAACAGAUAUAGUAUUGCAGGAGGCCUAACCGAUAUGAAAAUAUCUGAAUCCAGAAAAAAA